rnacentral:rRNA from 1 species
CCUACGGGAGGCAGCAGUCGAGAAUCAUUCACAAUGGGGGAAACCCUGAUGGUGCGACGCCGCGUGGGGGAAUGAAGGUCUUCGGAUUGUAAACCCCUGUCAUGUGGGAGCAAAUUAAAAAGAUAGUACCACAAGAGGAAGAGACGGCUAACUCUGUGCCAGCAGCCGCGGUAAUACAGAGGUCUCAAGCGUUGUUCGGAAGCACUGGGCGUAAAGGGUGCGUAGGCUGUUUCGUAAGUCGUGUGUGAAAGGCGCGGGCUCAACCCGCGGACGGCACAUGAUACUGCGAGACUAGAGUAAUGGAGGGGGAACCGGAAUUCUCGGUGUAGCAGUGAAAUGCGUAGAUAUGGAGAGGAACACUCGUGGCGAAGGCGGGUUCCUGGACAUUAACUGACGCUGAGGCACGAAGGCCAGGGGAGCGAAAGGGAUUAGAUACCCUUGUAGUC